AGCUCCAAUAGCGUAUAUUAAAGUUGUUGCAGUUAAAAAGCUCGUAGUUGGAUCUCGGGCGCCGGCGGGCGGUUCGCCUCGCGGCGGUUACUGCCCGCUCCGGCCCUACUCUGGCGGUUCACUGCGGUCGUGCUCUUCACUGAGUGCCUGCGGUGUCCGGCACAUUUACUUUGAAAAAAUUAGAGUGCUCAAGGCAGGCGGAACGCCUGAAUGAUGCUGCAUGGAAUAAUGGAAUAGGACCUCGGUUCUAUUUUGUUGGUUUUCGGAACUUGAGGUAAUGAUUAAGAGGGACUGCCGGGGGCAUUCGUAUUACGGUGUUAGAGGUGAAAUUCUUGGAUCGCCGUAAGACGAACAACUGCGAAAGCAUUUGCCAAGAAUAUUUUCA
rnacentral:rRNA from 1 species